GUGCACAUGAACAGGCCGUAGUUGGACCCCUGCAAUGCAUCAUAAAAUCUUCUCUGGUUGUACUGUUGAUCCUGGUGGCUGGACUGUUUUGGAAGACUUGUGAGAAGAAGACUAAGACAAUGCAGAAUUAUAAGAAGACUACAGGGCAACGGCAGUAACAUCUAUGGAAAUCUGAUGGAGUAGGAGUCUCAGAGGGGUAUCAGUGAACAACAGCUGGAAGAAGAGGAGCUUCUCGCUACUAUCUACACGGAGAUCCAUAGACCAGCUCAGGCCAUGAAGAUCAUUUAAUUGGAGGAAGCAGGAAAAAUCCAGCACUCCUGGGACACCUUCACUUUGAGCUUGAAACCUGCAUACAUCUGCCUGUACCGACUUCAGUCCAGCCCUAGCUCCUGCUCUGCAUUACCCUUACUGUGGCCACAGUUUCCUGGGAAGCAGUGGUCCUAUCAUUUCCUUGGCUCCCUCCAGCAGCUGCCCAGACACAGAAACUGUAUAAGUGCUGAUC